CUUAUUCGUUGGGACCAAAACUCCCAAAAUCAAUCCAAACCUUCCUUUUGUAGUCAUAAACCUUGUGUUAAAAUUUCAUAGAUUUCUAUUAACUUAUACUAAAGUUAUUGUGCAAAAACCAAGAAAAAUGCUUAUUUGGGACCUGUUUUUGGCCCCUAAUUCCUAAACUGUUGGGACUAAAACUCCCAAAAUCAAUCCCAACCUUCCUUUUGUGGUCAUAGACCUUAUGUUAAAAUUUGAUAGAUUUCUGUUCACUUAUACUUAAGUUAUUGUGCGAAAACCAAGAAAAAUGCUUAUUUGGGCCUUUUUUGGCCCCGAAUUCCUAAACUGUUGGGACCAAAACACCC
rnacentral:lncRNA from 1 species